GUUUUUGGUAUGGUUUUUAAUAAAUUAACGUUCAUUCAAAAUACAGUGCCAAAGGAAUAUGAUGCAGCCAAACAUGCUAAGGUAAUGUUUAUCAUGAAGCACCUGUGCUCAUGUUUAGUUUCCUCUUAAAAAAAAAAAAAGGUAGGAAGUCAGCCUCCCCACCCCUCUCCCUCCCCCACUACUGCUAGUGGUUGCCGGGACGAUUUCCAUAGCAACAGCCCUGGGCCAGCCCUCUUCGUUCCUCUCAGACCCAAUCAGCAGCGAGAUACCUCAAUAUCCACUCACGAGAAAAUUAAGUCUGAUAGAAGGAAAGAAACAAUAUGGAUAUCUACACACAAUCACACUACAGUAAUGUCCGAUAUUAAAUAAAAAAAUGAAAGACUAAUACAAAAUAGACCUGGUUUUCCCACCGCCCCCCGUCCAGCCCACACACACACACAGAAACACUUGUUUUUUUGUCUAAACAUAUGAAAAUAUAUAUAUUUUUUAAGAUUUAUAUAUAUUUCAGCAGCUUGUAAAUAAAAAAGAAAAAAAACGAAUUUCAAAAAGAAAAAAAAAAACGCAUGAGCCCAAAGUCUAAGUACGGUGUUUCUGAGUGGAGUUGUGUGGCGAUCCUUUUGAAGAGACCCGCAUAUGAAGAAUACGAGAGAGGGAGAGAGCGAAGCGAGAGAGAGUGAGAGCGAGAGAACAUGGAGGGUCUGGAGGAGAGGACCAGAGGGGUGUCUGAGUUUGGGUGAGGCCAGUUUUGGGUUCAGUAAAAGAGGGAAGGUUGGGGAGAGAGCGAGAGAGAGAGGGAGGGUGUGUGGUCUAGGUGGCUGUACCUGCAGUCACCAACUAAUGACCUUUGACCCCUUCUGCCCCCCCCGGCCCUCCUCCCUCCGCCCUCCCCCUUCUCGUACAGGUAACCCAAUCUUUCGUACGCUCACAGCACCGACCCCUCUGUCGUCUCACCAACGGGGCCCUGAAUAAAAUAAUAAAAACCUUGAGAUGCAUCCGGGGCCCUAAUAGUGAAAAGGCGAGCGGGACGGGGGAGGGGGCCCAGGGGGUGGAGGAGGAGGCGGAGUCAGCGAUACAGGGGAGGAGGCGGGGUCAGAGACACAGGGGAGGAGGGGAGUGGCUAAAAGGAGGCGGAGUCCGUGGGAAAGGUGGUGACAGAAAGAAGUGAGUCGGAGGGAGGCGGGGCCCAGAGGGGUGGGGGGCCGUGGGCAGUGGAG
ensembl:lncRNA